UACACUCCUCCGGGAGGCAGCAGUGGGGAAUUUUGGACAAUGGGCGAAAGCCUGAUCCAGCAAUGCCGCGUGUGUGAAGAAGGCCUUCGGGUUGUAAAGCACUUUUGUCCGGAAAGAAAUCCUUGGCUCUAAUACAGUCGGGGGAUGACGGUACCGGAAGAAUAAGCACCGGCUAACUACGUGCCAGCAGCCGCGGUAAUACGUAGGGUGCGAGCGGUAAUCGGAAUUACUGGGCGUAAAGCGUGCGCAGGCGGUUUGCUAAGACCGAUGUGAAAUCCCCGGGCUCAACCUGGGAACUGCAUUGGUGACUGGCAGGCUAGAGUAUGGCAGAGGGGGGUAGAAUUCCACGUGUAGCAGUGAAAUGCGUAGAGAUGUGGAGGAAUACCGAUGGCGAAGGCAGCCCCCUGGGCCAAUACUGACGCUCAUGCACGAAAGCGUGGGGAGCAAACAGGAUUAGAUACCCUGUAGUCCCAUGA
rnacentral:rRNA from 1 species